GCUGUACACAGAAACAGAGGCAAAGACAAAGACGUGCCACAAUGAGAAGAGCCCACACAGAUGAAUCAAUAAGACCCUAGCACGAACCAGGGCCCUAGGAACACCGCAUUCUCCAAGCCAGUUGGAUUUUGUGUCUAGUAAUCCAGAACCUUGAUCAACAGUCUCCAUGAAGCAAAGAAACGGGAGCACUGAAUUCACAGCCCGGAUGCCAAGUAAGAACCGGUGGGGAAAUUCUUCCAUUUUAAAAUGUUCUCUGUCAUUUAUCACUAAGCUUCCACUUCCAAAACCUUCCUUGGCCAACUGCAAGAAGCUUUUGGUCUCUUUGUCGGGGCACUGAGUGGAAAAUAAACCUGGUUUUCCGCCUCACUUUCAGGGUCGUCGGCCAAUCACAAAGUUGUGCCCCAUACCUCCUCGUGUUGGUGUCAAAGGGAAAGGAGCUGGGUGGGAUUUAUGAACUGAAGACCAGAUUUGCCACACAAAAGACCAGCUGCUUAAAAAACCGGAUCACGCUGGACAGCUCUGAGGUUUUAGCAGGUCUGAACGCCCCACCCUCUCCUCACGCCUCAGGCUCUCUGAGGACCCCACCUCAGCCCCGACCAGGAGCCCGAGCCACCCAUCCUCUCCUGAGCAAUCAAAAGGAAGUCUCGGUCUGAAACUCCUGGGUUCACCAUCCUGGGACUCGGGCCACAUAUUGUACCGAAAAGUUUUCCUGUUGCCUCAGCACCGAGGAAACUGUAAGGGUUUUGGAAGCUUUAUGUCAGGAACUGGGGCAGAGACCAAAUACACUUAUUACAUCACAGACAUAAUAAAAGAAACUGGCUUAUUCAGAAAGUAUGUCUCAAAGUGUUUCAAAAAGAUUGACCUGUUGUGAGAUGAUUUUCCAAAAUGCACUGGUUUAAACUGUGAUCACAUUUCCUUAUGAUCACAGCUAUUAAAUCUUUUAAAGAAAAGAUCCUGGGGGAGCUCGUUGUUCCAUUAUGUAACUGAGUAUUCUAAUCUCUCAUUUCUUUUCUGCUAAUGCUGAAAAUGCUUAAUAAAUAUCGUAACACUGAUAAUAACUAUGAUCACACAGAAAUUGUAAUAGCUUCUAUGCUCUCCACUUUACUAAUUAUUUUACUUAAUCCUAAAAUAAUCACACAAAGUAAGCACUUUUACUCCCUACUUUUUA
rnacentral:lncRNA from 1 species